UACGUAGGGUGCGAGCGUUGUCCGGAAUUACUGGGCGUAAAGGGUGCGUAGGUGGUUUCUUAAGUCAGAGGUGAAAGGCUACGGCUCAACCGUAGUAAGCCUUUGAAACUGGGAAACUUGAGUGCAGGAGAGGAGAGUGGAAUUCCUAGUGUAGCGGUGAAAUGCGUAGAUAUUAGGAGGGACACCAGUUGCGAAGGAGGCUCUCUGGACUGUAACUGACACUGAGGCACGAAAGCGUGGGGAGCAAACAGGAUUAGAUACCCUGGUAGUCCCUGA
rnacentral:rRNA from 1 species